AACGAACGCUGGCGGCAUGCCUAACACAUGCAAGUCGAACGAGACCUUCGGGUCUAGUGGCGCACGGGUGCGUAACGCGUGGGAACCUGCCCUUAGGUUCGGAAUAACUCCCCGAAAGGGGUGCUAAUACCGGAUAAUGUCUUCGGACCAAAGAUUUAUCGCCUUUGGAUGGGCCCGCGUUGGAUUAGCUAGUUGGUAGGGUAAAAGCCUACCAAGGCGACGAUCCAUAGCUGGUCUGAGAGGGUGAUCAGCCACACUGGGACUGGGACACGGCCCAGACUCCUACGGGAGGGAGGAAUGGGGGAUAUUGGAAAAAGGGGGGAAGGCUGAACCAGCCAUGCCGGGUGAGGUAUGAAGGCCUUAGGGUUGGAAAGCUUUUUUAACCGGGAAGAUAAUGACAGUACCGGGAGAAAAAGCCCCGGCUAACUCCGUG
rnacentral:rRNA from 1 species